rnacentral:lncRNA from 1 species
UGGUUCGGUUUGGACGGUUUCAUGGUUUGAUCGAUUUUUUUACUCAACCCUAAUAAACUUGUAGUGUUUUGGAUCAAAAACGAAAUACUCUUCAAAUGAGAACAUAUAUAUCAGGUAUGACGAACCAAAAUAGUGAGAAAACUCUCUUAUUUAUUGAUCGGCUUUGACAUGAAUUCAAACUUAUCAAUAAUGAAAGGAGGNNNNNNNNNNNNNNNNNNNNNNNNNNNNNNNNNNNNNNNNNNNNNNNNNNNNNNNNNNNNNNNNNNNNNNNNNNNNNNNNNNNNNNNNNNNNNNNNNNNNUUUUUUUUUUUUUGAAUCAUCAAUGUAUGGUAGGUCAAUGGUUGGUCAACUAAAAGAUUGACUUAAACUGUACAUAAAAAUUAACAUCUUAUUGAUUCAAGGGUGAUAGUGUGAUUUCAAUGGAAUUUGAGGGUUGUAAUAAAAUUUACCCCCCCCAUAUAAAUUAUUAUGGAUAUUAGGUCUUGCGGGCGUGCGCUCUCUGUUCCUGCCAGUUGGCGUGAAUAAUGUCGCCGCUCGCCACUGUCUGCAUCCAUUUUCUCUCUCUCUCAGGAGAUUCAUUUGUUAACAUUUACCUCCCCAACACUUUUUGAUUGCUUGCGGAGUCUGUUCCUCUGCCCCCUCUCUCCACUUUCUUUAAUUGUAAUCUAUCUAUAAACUAUUUUAUACACUCAGACAACUCUUAAAGAAGCGGUAGAAAUACGAACUCAUUAGUUAUGUAAUAGGUCUUGUGCAUUGAGUUAUCAAACCUCACAAAACCUUCAAGGCUCGGUCUUUAUAUUCCCUCAUUAAAAAAAAGGAGGCACUACCCUCAUCCCUACGUUAUCAAUUGCGUAUGUAGCAAAUGAAACUCGGUAUAUGUAUGUCAAGUUCCAUACCGUCACAAAUACUGACAUGUAUGAUGGUAUCGGGUGUACUGGCUAUACAACUCCAUACUAAAAGAAUGAAUAUUUGUAAUGUUUUAGUUUAAGUGUUUUUUUUGGAUACAUUUUAAAGCUCACAAGUGACGUUGCCAAUACUGGCAUGUACAGGCUGUAGCGGGUGAUCUGGCUUAUCACUCCAUAACGAAAGAAUGAAUGUUUUGUAAUUUUUUUAGUUUUAAAGUGUUUCUUUGUUACAUUUUUAAAGUCAGGUGUCUUAAAAAAUGUUUUUUUUUUUUUUGGACUUGAAACUGGAUAUUUUUUGUUUUGAGUUCAUCAAUUUUUAAAUUGUGGUUAAAUGUCAUAUAGUUUAUAAGUUCUAUUAACUCUAAAUAGUAACUUCUAUAAAAAUACACGGAAUUGUUAUAGUAUAUGUAGGAUAAAUUCGACCACGAUCUACAUCGGUACCGUCGAACCUGUACCGAUAGUCAAAAUAGUGGGCCUAUACGGAAUUAACAACUUUACCACCAUCUUCUAAGUGGUGGUGGGUUUCAAAGACAACAGUUGAGGACCUAAAUUUUUUUUAGAAAAAUCUUAAUAAGUAUUCUAUUUAGUGACUAAAGUCAUUAAGUCUAUCAAAUUAAAAAUAAAUUAGACGAAGUAAUUUUUGGUCCCCAUCGUUAAAUUCUCUCAUCCGCUAGGCAAAUGUUACUCAUGCAAAGUACUGCAUGGCCAUGUGAUGAGGAAAAUAAGGCUCCGUUUGUUUUUUUUUUAGUUUUUUUGCUUAGAAAAUAAAUAAAAAAGUCAAUAAAGUUGGCUUUUUAUUUUUUAUUUUUUAUUUUGUCCUUAUUUAGCUAAAUUAAAAAUACAAAAGCAAAAAAAAGUAAAAAAUCUUAAACUUUUGGUAACAAGUUUAAAAAAAAACUAAUUUUAAGAAUUAUCAAUUCAGAGUCAAGUUCAAGGUUUCUGAGAUACAACAUCACUUAAAGUUUCCAUUUUUUGCAGCCUAACCAGUUACUUGAGAUCCGUCCUAAUGAGAUGGGCAAUAUGAAAAACUUUCACAUUUUCCCAGUAAACUUGUUUGGGAUAUAGGAUUUUUUGAGGAAAAAUAAAAUGAAAUGAAAAUAGAAGAAUAGAUAUUUAAUGGUUUGAACUGUUUGAUCGUCUUAAUUUUAUUUUUUUUUUUUUUUUAUUUUUUUUUUUUUUAUCUUAUCAAAUUCAGAAUCCAAACACAGCCUUAAAUUAUUGUUAAUCUUACUUCAACCAAAGUUAAGAAAACAAAUUAAACUGGUAUUGGCAUAUAUGUGGUAAUCCUAAGUUCCACACUCAAAGCUACUAAACUCUUUGAACGGGCUUUAAGCAAUCAUCAGGCAUUACCCUUUCCUUGCACAAUUUAAAAGUAUAGGCAUAGCCAAGGAUGUGGCCUAAAUUAACUACACAACCUAAAAACACAAACCACAUUAUAUAGGGGACCAAAAUAAUAUAUUUACCUGGAUUCAUAGAAAAAAGCACGAUUUUAAAAAUGAUUCAUAGAAAACUAGCACGAAUUUCAUUUUGCGCGAAGUAUAACUUCUACCUAUGCUAGCAUUUUUAUUUCAAUUAUACUGUAAGGAGACAAAAUGAGUUUGGUCGAUUUGAACUGAACUCAUUAGUUUUGAGCGUGUUUGUUGGGCUGAAAGACUCAUCUAGGAAUUGGGCUUGGAGAAUAGGGCCCAAAGAAGAUAUACACUAAGCGUAGCCUGGAGAGACGGGUGCUGGAGACCGGCGCCCAAAUUUUGGUGAGGAAGAGGAGAUCUCGUAAGAUUCUUUUUUACUAGAGGAGAGAUGCUUCUCGAAAUGGAAAAAUCGCGAAAGAAUACUGAGAGAAUGAUAUGGAAGUAUGCAAGGUAUAUCCUAUAAGGUGAAUUCGCCUUAAAAUAACUCGCAAAGUAUUGGUACGCAAUCAAAUCCUUAACUCCAUCUAGAGCUCUUUUGUUCUCUCCUCUUUCCUUGUUUUUACUAUCACACCAUAGGGCUUUCCGACCAACCCCAUCCGGUAAGCUUGACGUUGUUUUAUCUUUUACUGAGGAUGUUUAGCACCUCACAAUUUUCAAAAUUUGAGUUCAUGAAACAAAAAUGCAAACAAAAAUACAUAGGAAGUCCAAUAAAAUCCAUUGCAAUUAGAAAAGAAUAAAGCUCCCAAAGAGGGCAUCAGAAAAUAAAUUAUCAGUUUACCAUUCUUAAAGCAGCCACAAGUAGACAAAGAGCAUAUAUAUCUCUACAAGUAUUACUCAUACGUUUGGGUUGAGAUGGGGUUUCUUGUAGUUGAAAUGGGCUUACAGUGAGUACUUUGGGGUGAGCCUGGGCAAUGCCAUGAAUAAAGGGGUUGAGUUCGGUGACUUAUCGGGGUCUAAAACUAAGCCCACAACCCAACAAUUAAAAGGGUGCAAUUUUAAACACAUUCCCGAUUACCCCACUUGAUUUUAUCUCAGUGCACGUUAAUAAUUAAGAACUAUGCAACCCCUAACUCAGAAACGCUGUUAACGGACAGUGUGAGGAAAAAGCGGGGUGACCCGCAGGGAAAGAGAGGGACGUACGGGGGGGAGGGGAAAGGAGGGGGUGGGGGGCGGGGUGUGAGGAGGGACGGGAAGUUGUUCCUAACCUUGUAUGAGGUGGUUUGAAAUUGUCAUUCUCGCUAUAAAAAAAAAAAAAAAAAAACCGAAAAGUAUAAAUAAUAAAAUUUUGAUUCAAACAAUUACAAAAAACUCACUUAUUAAAAAGACCAAAACUAAAAAAAAACUAAAGUCUAAUAAAAAAAAAUUUUUUAAAAAAAGUUAAGUUGUCCAAACUGGGCCUGAUGUUAAUGCUUAUUUCUGGCCUCUUCUCCCCCAGUUCUAAUCCCACACAUUCAAAUUUCCUAAAAUCUGGCCACCUGACUAGAUGUUAAGCUGGGACCAUCCAUAUCUAUAACCAUACAAGAUGAUGAACGAUUGGAUUUCUCCAUUCUAGAAGAAAAAUAGAAUUAGAGAUCUCAAUGUUAAUAUUAAAAAUCAAGAUCAGUUGUUCAUAAAGUGAUUAAAAAUAUAUCGUUAUUUUAAAACUCUCGAAACUAUUGAUGGUCUUAAGGUUCUCGUUAAAAUAAUCUUUAAAAUUUUUCAUGAUUGUUUUAAUAUUUAGAGUAAGGAUUUGUUAAUAAUGAGGUACAAUAAUUCAUCGGAAAAUGAUUCUCACAACAUACAAAUUUUACGUUUCUGAUAAAUGAGAUAAACAUAGUUGGUCCGUGAUUACAAUAUUGUUGGUUAAAAAAACACUGUUUUUUAAAAUAUAAAAUUAAAACUAAACUGAGUAAUUUGUUAAAAACUCAUCAAAGAUAGCUUUCAGGGACAGAAGAUAAACAGCUAAGUAAGUUAUGUUCAUUUUAUCUAUAGAUGUCUAUUUAUUUCAGUCUAAAGCACUUUCAAAAUUGAGUCUGUGUUUUAUUUAAAGUACUAUUGAGUUGUAGUAAGCCUUCGCUUUACGCACGAAGUGCUUUCUACAAUCAAAUAGAACCAUGACUAAAAUACAUGAAACAAUUAAUAAAAGAGUUCGACCUUCUCUCCAGUUUGGGAGGCUUGGACUAUAGUUUGUAUGAGAUUGUGCCAAUUUGCCGGGCCUCCAAAGUGAGCCAGCUUUGCUCGAAUUAAACUUCCCUAAUUCGUAAUAACAGGAAGUCAUUUACUUAAUAAAACAAAGUGAAAGAACAAAAAUGUGGCAGUAAGUUUGUGAGAAAUAUUGCAGAGAAUCCCAAUCUCUUGAAAGCCGACCAACAAAGAAUAUCAUUUUGAAAAAGGAUAGUAGUAUGAAACAACCCACAGAUUCAUGACAGGUUGUAUUCGAUGAUUGCCGUACCUAAAAAUGUAAAAAAAUAAAAAUCAAAAGAUGAAAACAUUUUUCACUAAGUGGCACAAGGACCCUCGAGAAUUUCAAUGAUCAAACCCCAAAUGGCGUCCUUCUCAUCCUACCCUUCUCUCUCUUCUCUCUUCUCUCUCUCCCUCUCUCUCUUUGUGGGUCAUAGCAUCAAGAAAGUGAAAGCUAGCCUUGGUGGGUAACCUAACAAUUCAUACUAGAACAUAAAGUGAGAGUAUCACAUUAUCAUUACAACAA